rnacentral:rRNA from 1 species
GGUUGAUCCUGCCAGUAACAUAUGCUUGUCUCAAAGAUUAAGCCAUGCAUGUCUAAGUAUAAACAACUUUAUACUGUGAAACUGCGUACAGCUCAUUAUAUCAGCAAUUAUUUAUUUGAUGGUUUUUACUACAUGGAUAACCGUGGUAAUUCUAGAGCUAAUACAUGCGCAAAGUCCUGACUCUCGCGGGGAGGGAUGUAUUUAUUAGAUUAAAAACCAAUACAGGCUUCUGCCUGCUAUUCGGUGACUCAUAAUAACUGAUCGGAUCGCAUAGCCUUGUGCUGGCGACAGUU